GGGUCUAAUACCGGAUACGACCAAUCUCCGCAUGGGGUGUUGGUGGGAAGCGUUAUGUAGUGGUUAUAGAUGGGCUCACGGCCUAUCAGCUUGUUGGUGAGGUAACGGCUCACCAAGGCGACGACGGGUAGCCGGCCUGAGAGGGUGACCGGCCACACUGGGACUGAGACACGGCCCAG
rnacentral:rRNA from 1 species